GAUGAACGCUGGCGGCGUGCCUAAUACAUGCAAGUCGAGCGAACGGACGAAAUUGUUGUCCCUCUGAUGUUAGCAGCUGAUGAGUGAGUAACAGGCGGAUAACUAACCCAUAAGUCAGCGGCAACGUCGGGAAAGCGGAGCGAAUGCCACGGAUUCUUAUGAACCGCAUGGGUCAAGAAUGAAAUGCGGCCUUGCGGACAACUAUAGAGGGAUCCGCGCUGCCCUAGCUAGAUGGGAAGGUAGCGGCUUACCAAGGCGACGAUGCAGAGCCGACCUGAGCGGGUGGACGGCCAGCCUGGAAGUGAGACACGGCCCAGACUCCUGCGGGGGGCCGCGGCAGGGAAUCUUCCGCGAUGGAGGAGAGCCUAACGGAGCAACGCCGCGUGAGUGAUGAUGGUGCUCGGAUCGUAGAGCUCUGUUAUUAGGGGAGAUCAUAUGUGUAAGUAACUGUGCACAUCUUGACGGUACCUGAUCAGAAAGCCCCGGCUAACUACGUG
rnacentral:rRNA from 1 species